GACGAACGCUGGCGGCGUGCUUAACACAUGCAAGUCGAACGAAGAGCGAUGGAAGCUUGCUUCUAUCAAUCUUAGUGGCGAACGGGUGAGUAACGCGUAAUCAACCUGCCCUUCAGAGGGGGACAACAGUUGGAAACGACUGCUAAUACUGCAUACGAUCUAAUCUCGGCAUCGAGGAUAGAUGAAAGGUGGCCUCUACAUGUAAGCUAUCACUGAAGGAGGGGAUUGCGUCUGAUUAGCUAGUUGGAGGGGUAACGGCCCACCAAGGCGAUGAUCAGUAGCCGGUCUGAGAGGAUGAACGGCCACAUUGGGACUGAGACACGGCCCAGACUCCUACGGGAGGCAGCAGUGGGGAAUCUUCCGCAAUGGACGAAAGUCUGACGGAGCAACGCCGCGUGAGUGAUGACGGCCUUCGGGUUGUAAAGCUCUGUUAAUCGGGACGAAAGGCCUUCUUGCGAAUAGUGAGAAGGAUUGACGGUACCGGAAUAGAAAGCC
rnacentral:rRNA from 1 species